rnacentral:tRNA from 2 species
GGAGAGGUGGCCGAGCGGUCGAAGGCGGCUCCCUGCUAAGGAGUUGAAGCGGUAUCCCCGCUUCCGAGGGUUCGAAUCCCUCCCUCUCCG